GACAGAGGGUGCAAACGUUGUUCGGAAUUACUGGGCGUAAAGAGCGUGUAGGCGGCCAGGUAGGUCUGCUGUGAAAACUCGAGGCUUAACCUCGAGCUGUCGGCGGAAACCAUCUGGCUAGAGUCCGGAAGAGGCGAGUGGAACUCCUGGUGUAGCGGUGGAAUGCGCAGAUAUCAGGAAGAACACCAACGGCGAAGGCAGCUCGCUGGGACGGAACUGACGCUAAGGCGCGAAAGCGUGGGGAGCGAACAGG
rnacentral:rRNA from 1 species